rnacentral:lncRNA from 1 species
CCAAGCUGGAGGCGGCGGUGACCCAGUCUGAGUGGCAGGGUGAGGUGGCCCUUAGCGACGACUGCUGCAAGCUGGCCGAGCUGGAGGGCACCCUGUAGAAGGUCAAGCAGGACAUGGCCUGCCUGAUCAGGGAGUACCAGGAGGUGAUGAACUCCAAGCUGGGCCCCGAUGUGAAGGCUGCCUCUUCUUGCCAACUUUUAGAUGGUGAGGAACAAAGGCUGUGUGAUGGCAUCCAUGCUGUGAAUAUCUGUGUGAGCAGCUCCUUGGUGUGGUUGCAUGUGGAGCCCUCUUGGCCAACUGCACCUGCGGCAUCAGCUCCUGUGGGAUGGGGCCUGUGUCAGCAGCUGCAGGAAGUGUUAAGUUGUCAGAGCUUGAGGAUGCACCCAGCGCAGCCUCUCACACUUGCAAGGGUCCCAGCUGGCCCUACUUGACCUUGUGCAGCCUGGUGGUGGGGCGCCACUGCUUGACCCACCCUGAUCCAUGUUCUCUGCUUCCCAUUUCUUACUUCUUGUUGUGUG